rnacentral:lncRNA from 1 species
AACAUCUCUUGUAAUAAAAGAUUGUUCCCACAUGAUCACCAACCUUAUUCUAUCACAUAAAAUCUUUAUAACGAAGGAAGAAGACCCAAUAUGCAGCCAAAACUGACCCCAACAUUUCAACAUAGACAACUAGCUAGCUAGACAAGGUUAUGACAUGAGCAUAAGUAAUGCAAUUGUUUAAUUUGAUCAGAUCGACACCAUACUACUGACCAAAUGCUUAAAGCAAUAUCGACAUUCUAGAUGCUUUCACAUGAUUGUGCAUGACGAGGGAUUAUCUUCACAGACAUAUUCACAUCUGCACACAUAGUAACCGCUUCUUUGGCAACCACAGCCGCCGCCGCUGCCAGCCCAACUAUCAUACACUGGCCUUCCAUAAGCUUCAUAACAUGGGGGUGCUGGCCUAGCAUUGUCAUGAUAACACGGGCCUCCACUAAUCCCAUGGUAGCAUUCAGCACAACAUGUCCUUGGGUGGACUGGUUCCGGAGCUUUAGGUGGUGGUGGUCGUGUCGGGUUUGGAGCUGGGAUUGGGGCGGGUGCUGGCCUCCUAUAGUCAUGAUAACACGGGCCUCCACUAAUCCCAUGGUAGCAUUCAUCACAACAUGUCCUUGGGUGGACUGGUUCCGGAGCUUUAGGUGGUGGUGCCGGGUUUGGAGCUGGGAUUAGGAAGGGUGCUGGCCUCCUAUGGUCAUGAUAACAUGGGCCUCCACUAAUCCCAUGGUAGCAUUCAGCACAACAUGUCCUUCGGUGGACUGGUGCCGGUUUCUCUGGUUCUUUGGGUUUCUCUGGUUCUUUGGGUUUCUCCGGUUCUUUGGGUUUCUCUGGUUCUUUGGGCUUCUCCGGUUCUUUGGGAUUCUCCGGUUGCUUAGGCUUUUCAGGUUCUUUCGGCUUCUCCGGUUCUUUAGGUUUAGAUGGUGGUGCUUUGGGUUUCUCUGGAACCUUGAUCUCAAUGCUCUGGACAGCUUCACCUCCUUUACAGAUUAUCUUUUCCUUGAUCUUUUCAGGACUGCAACAUACCACAGUGAUGGUCACUGUGCCUGCCUUCUUGUCAUAUAUCUGGUUCUGAAUUUCUCUUGUUCACAAUCCACAAAAACAACUUAGCCACUUUCCUUUCAUCUUAAAACUGCUCAAACUAAGUUAUUAUACAUGGAGAAGGAGGCACUCACGAGGGAUUCUACACAGUACUUUCUUGAUUUUCUUGUGGCAUUUCUUACAUUCAAGGUCAACCUUGAUCACCAUUAUUGUGACUUUCUGCAAUACGAGCACAUAAAAACAAGGACAUUCUAAGCCAAGAAGAAUAUUGAAAGGACUGGAACACUUUCUGACAUGGAAGGAUAUUGAUCAGUAAAGAUAAUGAACAAGAAGAUGAGGUCCAUAGGGCCAAAAACAAGGACCACAACACAUAAAAAGAAGAAAAACCCAGAUGAAUGGACUAAAUAAAAGAUAAAUCUAAACCAAUAAAAGAAGAAGAAGGAAAAUGUAUCAAAAUCUCCACAUCCAUCCAUGCACAUACCUUUUCAGCCAUGGUUUUGUCGAAGCUUUGAUCUGGACCUGAUGAGAUGAUAGAAUUGAGAGCAGAGUGAAGGAACAGACCAGAGGGUGAGAGGGAGAUAUAGAGGCUUCUAAAAUUAAGAUUGAUCACAACUUAAGUAGUAGAAGUGUGAGACCAAAGUUUAAAUACCGUGCAUCUAGAGGCCAAUAAGAAGAGAACACAUGGGAUUGGGUGUUGAGCUUGACGUCAUAUUGUCGUUUUCUUUUUUAUUGCUGACCCUCCAAACCUGCGUAUGCAAGCGCUGGCUUUGAUGGACACAUCUCACCUUCAAUUUUGUUAAUCAUUUCGAAGGCUGUUGUGCAUCCUACGGUGCAUUAGUUCAGUCAUGUCAAUAAAUGAGCCAUGCAAACCCCAUGACAACCGUACACGUGUCCCAAAAAAAUUCACCAUAAAAAAUUAAAAAUCUUCAAUUAAUAUUUCCAUAUCUCAUGUUAAAAGAAUUUAGCCGGUGUUUGAUUGUUGUUUCCUGAUAAAAACAUAGAAAACUUGAAUUAUAAAUUUAUUUUAAAAUUAUUACAAAAAACAAUUUUAUUUUAUAUUCUUAUUUUUAUCCUCCGUUCUACACUAACAACACAUAAUUUGAAGAGGUAUUAUAAUUCUAAUUAACGAGCUCCUCUGUUUCAAAAUUUGGAUUUAUAAAGUAACAUAAGAACACAUAUCUCUUUAACAACUUGUCCAAAUUGGAUUAAUUUUUUAUGAUACAUGUAAGGUAAUUAGUUGUAUUUUUUAAUAAAAAGAUAAUUAGAACAAAAAUAAUUAAUAAGUUGUGAUAUUUGUAUUACUCUCUCUUGUAUUUAUAUUUUUUCUAAAAGUACAUCUUAUAAAAUAAUUAAUAAAUUAUUACUAAUUCCCAUCAUCACCAUGGAAUACUUCAUAUAAUCUAAACGACAAAAAUCUGUAUAAUUAUAUAUAUAAUGAUAUGAAAACCAGAAAUUAGAAACCCAAGUCGUUAAGCAAGUAGCUCACCGUUUUAUCUCAUCACUUUAACCAUAAAGGUGCUAGGACAUAAAGAAGAAAGUUAACAAAUUGUGGGCCCAGAAGUUGCGUCCAUGAGUGCCGACUUUGAAAGCUGAGGCAGGUUUAACUAAUCGUUUGAAAUUACGGUCAACUGUAUUUUUUAAAAUUUUAAUUUUUUAAUAUAUAUAUAUAUAUUUGAUUGUUUUGAUAUACUGGUACAAGAAUAAAUCUUGAAAAAUAAAAAUUAUAUGUUUUAUUUUAAUAUAUUUUCAAUAAUGUUAGUGUUUAGAGAGCAACUAAUAUAAAUUUCGUAGUCGGCAACUUUACAUAAUCUCAUAUCAACAAAUCAGGAGAAGGAAGGGAACUGCUCAUUCAUGGUAGAAUUCUUAUCGCCAAGUACGAUGAUGGGAUCAUGACAGUCCACAUUCCAUUAUCUAGAUGGAUCAUGCAUGACCUAAAUUUCUGACAGCGAAGCUUGAUAACGUUUACAAAACAAAAACCAUCGAUCAGUUACUGUCAGAAAUUAAAGAAAGCAAAUGGAAAGUGAAUGGAAGGGAGAUGCUGAGAUGCACCAUCACUGUAUAUACAAAUAGCAAUGAUUAUGGAAGCUUUAAAAUCUCCCUUAUAUUAAUUUAUUAAAAAUCUUAACAUCUCUUGUAAUAAAAUAUUGUGCCCACAUCACCAACCUUAUUGUAUCACAUAAAAUCUCUAAAACGAAGGAAGAAGACCCAAUAUGCAGCCAAAACUGACUAGCUAGACAAGGUUAUGACAUGAGCAUGAGCAAUGCUAUUGUUUAAUUUGAUCAUAUCGACACGAUACUACUGUCCAAAUCCAGUGAUUUUUGGUGGAAAUCGGCUUAAGGCAAUAUCGACAUUCUAGAUGCUUUCACAUGAUUGUGCAUGACGAGGGAUUAUCUUCACAGACAUAUUCACAUCUGCACACAUAGUAACCGCUUCUUUGGCAACCACAGCCGCCGCCGCCGCCGCCACCCCAAUUAUCAUACACUGGCCUUCCAUAAGCUUCAUAACUCGGGGGUGCUGGCCUACCAUAGUCAUGAUAACAUGGGCCUCCACUAAUCCCAUGGUAGCAUUCAGCACAACAUGUCCUUGGGGGGACUGGUUCCGGAGCUUUAGGUGGUGGUGGUGCCGGGUUUGGAGCUGGGUUUGGGGCCGGUUCUUUGGGUUUUGGUGUUUCAACAAUAAGCGCUUUAGGCUUCUCCGGUUCUUUGGGUUUCUCCGGUUCUUUGGGCUUCUCCGGUUCUUUGGGUUUCUCCGGUUCUUUGGGCUUCUCCGGUUCUUUGGGUUUCUCCGGUUCUUUGGGCUUCUCUGGUUCUUUGGGUUUCUCCGGUUCUUUGGGCUUCUCUGGUUGCUUAGGCUUCUCAGGUUCUUUCGGCUUCUCCGGUUCUUUGGGUUUCUCUGGUGCUGCUUUGGGAUUCUCUGGUGCUUUGGGUUUCUCUGGAACCUUGAUCUCAAUGCUCUUGACAGCUUCACCUCCUUUACAGACUAUCUUUUCCUUGAUCUUUUCAGGACUGCAACAUACCACAGUGAUGGUCACUGUGCCUGCCUUCUUGUCAUAUAUCUGGUUCUGAAUUUCUCUUGUUCACAAUCCACAAAAAUUAACCACUUAGCCACUUUCAUUUCAUCUUGAAACAGCUCAAACUAAGUUAUAAUACAUGGAGAAGCUAGGAGGCACUCACGAGGGAUUCUACACAGUACUUUCUUGAUUUUCUUGUGGCAUUUCUCGCAUUCAAGGUCAACCUUCAUCACCAUUAUUGUGACUUUCUGCAAUAGGAGCACAUAAAAACAAGGACAAAAUUUCUAAGCCAGGAAGAAUAUUGAAAGGACUGGAACACUUUCUGACAUGGAAGGAUAUUGAUCAGUAAAGAUAAUGAAAAAGAAGAUGAGGUCCGUAGGGCCAAAAACAAGGACCACCGCAUAAAAAGAAUAAAAACCCAGACGAAUGGGCUAAAUAAAAGAUAAAUCGAAACCAAGAAAAGAAGAAGAAGGAAAUAUAUCAAAAUCUCCACAUCCAUCCAUGCACAUACCUUUUCAGCCAUGGUUUUGUCCAAGCCUUGAUCUGAGCCUGAUGAGAUGAUAGAAUUGAGAGCAGAGUGAAGGAACGGACCAGAGGGUCAGAGGGAGAUUGAGAUACGAAAAGGAGGCUUAUAAAAUGAAGAUUGAUCACAACUUAAGUAGUAGAAGUGUGGGGACAUAGUUUAAAUACCGCGCAUCUAGUAGGCAAUAAGAAGAGAACACGUGGCAUUGGGUGUUGAGCUUGACGUAAUAUUGUCGUUUCAUUUUUAAUUGCUGACCCUCCGAUCAUGCACAUGCAUGUGCUGGCUUUGAUGGACACAUCUCACCUUCAAUUUUGUUAAUCAUUUCGAAGGUUGUAGUGCAUCCUACGGCGCAUUAGUUUAGUCAUGUCAAUAAAUGAGCCAUGCAACCCCCAUGACAACCGUACACGUGUCCCCAAAAAACUCCCCUCAUAAAAUUAAAAAUCUUCAAUUAAUAUUUCCAUAUCUCAUGUGUAAAAGAAUUUAGAAAACAUGAAUUAUUGUAUUUAUUAUUUUACCAUGAAUAUGAGAAAUGAGAAAUUAGAAACCCAAGUCGUAAAGCAAGUAGCUCAUCGUUUUAUCUUAUCCCUAUGUGUGGAUAUAAAGAAGAAAGUUAACAAAUUGUGGGCCCAGAAGUUGCGUCCAUGAGUGCCAACUUUGAAAGCUGAGGCAGGUUUAACUAACCGUUUGAAAUUGCGUUCAACUGCUUUUUAAAAAAAAACAUUUAUUUUUAAAUUUUUAUUUUAUAUAUCUUUAGAUUAUUUUACGAUGGCAUGAAGAAUAAAUUCAAAAAAAAAUUCAAAAAACAAUCCCAGCAAAAUCAUUAUUGCUUUCCAGAAUUGUUGAGAGGAAUCACAUGAAUCUAAUUUGAAGUUUGGGCCUCUACUCUGCAGGUCAUGAAAGUAGAGAAUCCAAGGAAAGCCAUGUGCCAGUCCAUUAUCUAUGUUUUCUGAAUGACAAACUGGGUUUCAUUAACACUGAGCUUAGCCCAUGUUUCACAGGGCAUAUUAAUCAGCCCAUCACUUCCAUGGCUAUACCAGGACUGGCUAAGAAGCCCGGAGGCUAAAACAGGCCUGCAAGCAACACAUAUUGCUUUGCUCCGGGUCAAAUAUUAUUCUUUCUAGUAGAAAGAAUGAAUAAAUAUGUUUUUUUUAUUAUGUUUUUUAAUUUAAAAAAUUCUUAUUUUAAACAAAAAAAAACUUUAUAUAUUCAUCCAAUUAAAUAAAUUGAAAAUUUGAUUGUAUAACCAUAGUUGAUGUAGAAUCUGGCUCGAACCAAGUUUUAUAUUAUUGGAGUGACUGUUCGCUCGAUUAACCUAGAUGAUGAGACUCAACUUGAUAAAUUACUUGGAUUUUUUAAAUGUGUAUUAAAAAUAACAUUUUUAGACUUUUUUUUAACCAAAACAAUAUCAUUUUAUGAUAUAUCUGGAUUGAUAUAUGAUAAACUUUCUAACCCAUUAAACAUUUAUUUACAACGUGAGAGAAUAGGAAUCCCAUAUAUUGACCCGAAGGAGAUGCUGAUUGAUAACGUUUACAAACAAAAGCCAUCGACCAGUUACUGUCAGAAAUUAAAGAAAGCAAAUAGAAAGUGAAUGGAAAGGAGAUGACCAUCACUAUAUAUAUACAAAUAGCAGUGAUUAUGGAAGCUUUAAAAUCCCUUAUAUUAAUUUAUUAAAAAUCUUAACAACUCUUGUAAUAAAAUAUUGUUCCCACAUGAUCACCAACCUUAUUGUAUCACAUAAAAUCUUUAUAACGAAGGAAGAAGACCCAAUAUGCAGCCAAAACUGACUAGCUAGACAAGGUUAUGACAUGAGCAUGGGUAAUGCUAUUGUUUAAUUUGAUCAUAUCGACACGAUACUACUGUCCAAAUCCAGUGAUUUUAGGUGGAGAUCGGCUUAAAGCAUCGACAUUCUUGAUGCUUUCACAUGAUUGUGCAUGACGAGGGAUUAUCUUCACAAACAUAUUCACAUCGGCACGCAUAGUAACCGCUUCUUUGGCAACCACAGCCGCCGCUGCCACCCCAACUAUCAUGCACUGGCCUUCCAUAAAUUUCAUA